GGAUCCUGAUGAUGUGAACCCUUCCACCAACACAAACAUUUUAUCGAACGGAGGGCCUCCUGAGGAGGAUAUGGAUGCUAAUUCAACCAGUAAGGGGAUUGAGAUCCCGCAGAGAGGAAGCCCCAGUCCUGCGAACAUCAACUUUCCAGACAAUAAGAAGAGGUACCUAUCACUGUCUGAGGGAGGGGAUCCUGAUGAUGUGAACCCUUCCACCAACACAAACAUUUUAUCGAACGGAGGGCCUCCUGAGGAGGAUAUGGAUGCUAAUUCAACCAGUAAGGGGAUUGAGAUCCCGCAGAGAGGAAGCCCCAGUCCUGCGAACAUCAACUUUCCAGACAAGUCAGUGGAACUCCAAAAUCAAGUUGAAAACAAAUUACGUGAUACAUUUUACCUUCUACAAACAGAAGUUUGCAUUUAUAUUAAAAUUAAAUGGGCAUUCUUAACUGGUGAUGUGUUUGUUGCAAUUCCGGAACCUAACAAUAUAGAAAAUAUGGAAAACAAACCUCCAAUAAUUAGUCAUACCAAAGAGUUACUUCUUGAGGAAGUGAAAAAAAUGUUUGAAAACGAAGUGAAAAUACAAAAUAGAAAAUGUUAUAUGUAUUCGCUCAACUCUCCUUCGCAAAUUAUAGAACAUAAAAUAACAGAUUUAGCAGAACUGAACAAGUAUGGCAUAACAGCGAUUUUUACGAACUGUCUGACGGAAAACCAAAACAUCCCAAAGCAUUUUGAAAAUUUUUCUGAAUUUCUUGAUAAAUACUACUCAUUACAAACAAAAGAUUGCAAGCAAAAAUUUGAUACGCAACAUGCAUGGGCAUUUAUAGAGUCACCUUGUGGUGGAGAACCGGUUUUUGUUGGCUUAAUUAAAUUAGAAGAUUGCAAAAAGAUGGGUAAGGGAGAACAUACCGAAAAGUUACUUCUUGAGGAAGUAAAACAAAUAUUGAAAAAAAAUGAGAAAUUGCGAAAUACUAAGUUGUUUAUCUAUACCCUCAAUUCACCUUGUUUGCAAAAUUCCGGUCAUGAUUCAUGCAUGGAUUUACUGAUUAAGGAUUCUUCAGAACUGUACAAAUCUUAUGGUAUAAAAACUAUUGUUGGAUAUAGCAAAUGGUACGGUUUGACUGGAAAGUUGACAACCUUUAUAGAUCCAUAUAUCAGCUCAUUCGAUCACUUUAAUUUGAUAAUCAGUAGUCCUAAUUAUGAAAACUAUCGUGACAAAUUUGCCAUUUUUAAGACUGAGUAUAACAAUAACAACAGCCAUGACUCUCAAUCAAAUUUUGAAGACAGAGAACUUACCAGGGAACUUUAUAAUUCGACUAAACAAUUUCUACCCAACAACAUUUCAGAAGUACCUUUCAGAUUGCAAACUUUUACAGACAUCCAUAAUUAUGUGACAAAGAAAUUUAGGUCAAUUAGCAAUUACCAUAAAAAAGAGCCGAGAACCGAUAAGAAAAGUCUUGACCUACAUUUUUCCAUACCCCAUUUUGGAACUCUGAAUCAAUUCCAAAAAGUUGGAGAGGAUCUAGCUAAAACAUUUGACUUGGUAAAAAAAAGUGGUAGUGCCUUAGAUAAAUCUAAAGUAGUAUUCAUAAAAUGGUGGACUAAAACAAUUGCAGACAAACAUACUACUUUUCUUCGAGAAGACAUUAAUAGACGACUUAGUGAAGAAAAACACAGAAUCACAUUCCUCAAUCACAUCAAGAUUAACACUGCAGAAUAUUUACAGUUUUGUCACUUACCACCAAACCAUUUAUACAAACUUCUUAAUUAAUACAUGCAACGUAUUCAUUUGAGGUUGUGAGCUAUAGAUUAUGAAUAAAUCAAAUUGUAUUGGUCACAUGUCUAUUUACCUUUAUUUAACAAGUCAGUUAAGAACAAAUUCUUAUUUUCAAUGACAUACACACUGUUAGCAGAUGUUAAUGCAAGUGUAGUGAAAUGCUUGUGCUUCUAGUAAUCUAACAAAUUCACAACUGCCUGUAAAGGGGUGAAUAGAAUAUGUACAUAUGUCUCCAACUCCCCCUAUGUUUUUUGAGGUACUGUAAACGUAUGCUUUCAUACUAAUAAAAAAUAAUUGCUA